GCACAAGCAGCGGAGCGUGUGGUUUAAUUCGAUGCUACACGAAGAACCUUACCAGGGUUUGACAUACAAGUAGUAGGGAAAGGAAACUGGACCGACCCUUCGGGGAGCUUGUACAGGUGCCGCAUGGCUGUCGUCAGCUCGUGUCGUGAGAUGUUCGGUUAAGUCCGCUAACGAGCGCAACCCUCGCUGUGUGUUACAAGUGUCACACGGAACUGCCGGUCAUAAACCGGAGGAAGGUGGGAUGACGUCAAGUCAGCAUGGCCUUUAUAUCCUGGGCUACACACACGCUACAAUGGGAAGGGACAAUAGGUUGCCAAGCCGCGAGGCGGAGCCAAUCCUAAAAGCAGGCCUCAGUUCAGAUUGCAGUCUGCAACCCGACUGCAUGAAGAUGGAGUUGCUAGUAACCGCAGGUCAGCAAUACUGCGGUGAAUACGUUCCCGGGUCUU
rnacentral:rRNA from 1 species